rnacentral:rRNA from 1 species
UACGUAGGGUGCGAGCGUUGUCCGGAAUUAUUGGGCGUAAAGAGCUCGUAGGCGGUUUGUUGCGUCUAUCGUGAAAACCUGCAGCUUAACUGUGGGCUUGCGGUGGAUACGGGCAGACUUGAGUUCGGUAGGGGAGAUUGGAAUUCCUGGUGUAGCGGUGAAAUGCGCAGAUAUCAGGAGGAACACCGGUGGCGAAGGCGGGUCUCUGGGCCGAUACUGACGCUGAGGAGCGAAAGCGUGGGGAGCGAACAGG